UACGAAGGGGGCUAGCGUUGUUCGGAUUUACUGGGCGUAAAGCGCACGUAGGCGGACUAUUAAGUCAGUGGUGAAAUCCCGGGGCUCAACCCCGGAACUGCCUUUGAUACUGGUAGUCUUGAGUUCGAGAGAGGUGAGUGGAAUUCCGAGUGUAGAGGUGAAAUUCGUAGAUAUUCGGAGGAACACCAGUGGCGAAGGCGGCUUCCUGGCAUGUUCUUGACGCUGAGGCGCGAAAGCUAGGGGAGCAAACGGG
rnacentral:rRNA from 1 species